CUGACUACGGGCAUGCGGCCGAGGUAGUAAGUAGGGGUGGAUCGUUAAUCGGAAUUACUGGGCGGAAAGCUGGUGGAGGUGGCUCAUGAAGUCACAGGUGAAAUCCCCGGGCGUAACCUGGGAACUGCAUGUGAUACUGGUGGUGCUAGAAUAUGUGAGAGGGAAGUAGAAUUCCAGGUGUAGCGGUGAAAUGCGUAGAGAUCUGGAGGAAUACCGAUGGCGAAGGCAGCUUCCUGGCAUAAUAUUGACACUGAGAUUCGAAAGCGUGGGUAGCAAACAGGAUUAGAUACCCUUGUAGUC
rnacentral:rRNA from 1 species